rnacentral:rRNA from 1 species
CCUACGGGAGGCAGCAGUGGGGAAUAUUGGACAAUGGGGGGAACCCUGAUGCAGCGACGCCGCGUGAGUGAAGAAGUACUUCGGUACGUAAAGCCCUAUCAGCAGGGAAGAAAGUAAUGACGGUACCUGACUAAGAAGCCGCGGCUAACUACGUGCCAGCCGCCGCGGUAAUACGUAGGGGGCAAGCGUUAUCCGGAUUUACUGGGUGUAAAGGGAGCGUAGACGGCGAUGCAAGUCUGAAGUGAAAGGCGGGGGCCUAACCCCGGGACUGCUUUGGAAACUGUAUGGCUGGAGUGCAGGAGGGGCAGGUGGAAUUCCUGGUGUAGCGGUGAAAUGCGUAGAUAUUAGGAGGAACACCAGUGGCGAAGGCGGCUUACUGGACUGUAACUGACGUUGAGGCUCGAAAGCGUGGGGAGCAAACAGGAUUAGAUACCCCAGUAGUC